rnacentral:rRNA from 1 species
GAUUAACGCUGGCGGCUUGCCUAAUACAUGCAAGUCGAGCGAACGUACGAGAAGCUUUCUUUUCUUAUGUUAGCGGCGGACGGGCGAGUAACACGUUGCUAACCUAUCUAUAAGACUUGGAUAACUUCGGGAAACCGGAGCUAAUACCGGAUAAUAUUUUUAACCUCAUUGUUCAAAAGUUCAAGACCUUCUUGCUGUCACUUAUAUAUUGAUCCGCGCUGCAUUAGCUAGUUGGUAAGGUAACGGCUUACCAAGGCAACGAUGCAUAGCCGACCUGAGAGGGUGAUCGGCCACACUGGAACUGAGACACGGUCCAGACUCCUACGGGAGGCAGCAGUAGGGAAUCUUCCGCAAUGGGCGAAAGCCUGACGGAGCAACGCCGCGUGAGUGAUGAAGGUCUUCGGAUCGUAAAACUCUGUUAUUAGGGAAGAACAUAUGUGUAAGUAACUGUGCACAUCUUGACGGUACCUAAUCAGAAAGCCACGGCUAACUACGUG